rnacentral:rRNA from 1 species
UACGUAGGGUGCAAGCGUUGUCCGGAAUUAUUGGGCGUAAGAGCGUGUAGGCGGCCCAUUAGUCCGCUGUGAAAGUCCAGGGCUCAACCCUGGAAUGCCGUGGAUACUGUGGGCUAGAGUCCGGAAGGGCGAGUGGAAUUCCGUGGUGUAGCGGUGAAAUGCGUAGAUAUCAGGAGGACACCUGUGGUGUAGACAGCUACUGACCACUCUGCGCUGAGA